GCCGGCGUGGUGGAAUGGCAGACGCACCGGACUCAAAAUCCGGUAUAGGAGACUAUGUGUGGGUUCAAGUCCCACCGCCGGUACCA
rnacentral:tRNA from 2 species